rnacentral:rRNA from 1 species
ACGCUCGACACCUACGGGAGCAGCAGUAGGGAAUUUUCGUCAAUGGGGGGAACCCUGAACGAGCAAUGCCGCGUGAGUGAAGAAGGUCUUCGGAUCGUAAAGCUCUGUUGUAAGAGAAAAAGGGCGCAUAUAGGAAAUGAUAUGCGAUUGAUGGUAUCUUACCAGAAAGCCACGGCUAACUACGUGUCAGCAGCCGCGGUAAUCUGAGCGGGCUGGCAAGGC